CCUACGGGAGGCAGCAGUGAGGAAUAUUGGUCAAUGGACGUAAGUCUGAACCAGCCAUGUCGCGUGCAGGAUGACGGCCCUAUGAGUUGUAAACUGCUUUUGUACGAGGGUAAACCCCGAUACGUGUAUCGGGUUGCAAGUAUCGUACGAAUAAGGAUCGGCUAACUCCGUGCCAGCAGCCGCGGUAAUACGGAGGAUCCGGGCGUUAUCCGGAUUUAUUGGGUUUAAAGGGUGCGUAGGCGGGUUGAUAAGUUAGAGGUGAAAUGUCGGGGCUCAACCCUGAAACUGCCUCUCAUACUGUCGGACUAGAGAGUAGGGGAGGUAGGCGGAAUGCAUGGUGUAGCGGUGAAAUGCUUAGAUAUUAGGAGGAACAUCAGUGGCGAAGGCGGCUUUCUGGACUGUAACUGACGCUGAGGCACGAAAGUGUGGGGAGCGAACAGGAUUAGAUACCCUGGUAGUC
rnacentral:rRNA from 1 species